rnacentral:lncRNA from 1 species
CCGUCAGCUGAUCGCACACGUGGGGCGCGCGGAGGACACUCUUAAAGGCGUACGCACACCCCGCCUCCCCCCGCACCCUCGACGGCGCCCCCUCGCCGAGGCCCGCACCUGCGGCGGGGGCGCCGCCGGGGCCCGUGGGCGGCGGAGGCGGCCAGCCCGGAGGCGGCCGCGGCCCUGGGAAGGGACGGGGAGGUGGCGCCAGGCGACCGUUACGGCGGCGCGUGCGGAGCCGAGGAGGUGUUAUCUACCUGGAAGCUUCUGGGCGAACCGGAGGAAGCUGUGCAGGCGCAGUUACUUGGUGCUGAAGCAGUAAUACAUCACUCUAAGAAUCGCUGCCUUUGGACACUACUCUGAAGGAGGAUCCUUCCAGUAAUAUUGUUCCAAAAUGACUGGAAUCCUGUGUCCAAGAGUGAGGACAGAUGAGAGCAGCAUACAAUGGAGCCUCUGUAUCCUUUAUACACAGUAAUAUGGCAACAGAUAGGUAUUGGGAUAAACUGAGAUAGAUACUAUGUACUGGGGUUCUGCUUGUUCAAAUCCAUUAACUUGUAGAAUUCCAUAUAAGGGACUACAACUAACAUUUUAGCCCCCAGGCCAGAGUAGGCAGCUGCAGAGAGUUAAGAGAAAGGAUUGCCUGAGUCUCAGAAGCUGAAGGUUGAUCAGUAAUUAAUUUAAAAAUCAAUAUCGCAUUCUGCUGUGGUGUAGCAAGGAAGCUGGCAGAACUCAGCAAGUGCAUUAGAGGGUUUUGCUUUUAAGAGCUGAUUCAAAAGAGGCAAAGAGGAACUGGGAGUGAGUUUAGGGGAUUUUGAUUGGGAAGGAUGACUGGAAAAAUGAGAGAGACAGGUAGAGGCUGUGGAAAGGACUCAGAUUACAGCAAAAAGGAAGGAGAAGAAUCGGUGAAGUUCUGGGGCUUUGUGGCAUCUCUCCACACACUCACUAGCCAUCAUGCCCGCAGAUGAUAGGAUACAGGACAAGUCCCUCAGCCUCCCCACUUCCCAGUAGCCUCUCCUCCCUCCAUAUUUCUCUCCAAAUCCUCCAUAGGACCUAGAGCCCUCUUCUUCCUUGCAACUUCCUUCUUCAUCUCAUUCAAUGGCUGUUGACUCUUAUCCUCCCCACAAAAAAACAUCUGAUUCUGCACAGACAGGUUAGGAGAGGGAUGGCCAGAAAUGAAAGGGCAAGUAGUUGUUCCUGGGGUUGGUGGCCAGUCCUCACACUAGCAGCCCAAAACUAAUACCCACCAAUUCCCCCCACAGCAAAUUUGAUUCCCAGAGAUCUUGCAAAACAGGCAGCAAGGUCACACACAGUUGUUUACUUUGGCUGUGCCUAGAAGUUUAACUUGCCCCUUACCCCUGAAAUUGGUGAGAAAAGCUUCCACUGCCUUCAGCUGAUUUCACUGGGUAAAAAACAAAUGAUUACGGUUGUCAGCAUUUUCCUUGGGUGUGUAGAGGAAGGUCAAUAAAGCCUUUAUUACCAUUGCUACUCUGCA